rnacentral:rRNA from 1 species
AUUGAACGCUGGCGGGAGGCCUAACACAUGCAAGUCGAACGAGUGGCGGACGGGUGAGUAAUGUCUCGGAAACUGCCUAAUGGCGGGGGAUAACUACUGGAAACGGUAGCUAAUACCGCAUACCAUCAGAUGUGCCCAUAUGGGAUUAGCUUGUUGGUGGGGUAACGGCUCACCAAGGCGACGAUCCCUAGCUGGUCUGAGAGGAGGACCAGCCACACUGGAAUUGAGACACGGCCCAGACUCCUACGGGAGGCAGCAGUGGGGAAUUUUGGACAAUGGGGGCAAGCCUGAUGCAGCCAUGCCGCGUGUAUGAAGAAGGCCUUCGGGUUGUAAAGUACUUUCAGCGGGGAGGCGGUAUCCGCAGAAUAAGCACCGGCUAACUACGUGCCAGCAGCCGCGGUAAUAG